rnacentral:lncRNA from 1 species
AUAAUUUUCAAAAAUCUGCCCUUCGCAUUUAUAGCUGCAACAAAAACGUCCAUGGUCUUGUCUAAAUUGACCUCAAAAUCACGGUGGAUGUGCAUAAAACCCAAAGCAGAUAAUCUGUCAUUUCUCAACAGGUAUUGUAUCAAUAGACAGAUACAAUGCGGGGUUAACUAUAUCAAGCGUUUGACACAGUGUUGUCGGCACUUUAUCACUAGGUAGGAUUCGACAGCGAGCUCUCCAGUGUUCAACCUCUCUCUUGUAGUCUUCUAAAGACAACCCGAUAUCUAUCAGGUAUGUCUGAUGAAUUGUGACAAUUUGGUCAUUAUUUAUUUGUCAGACUAUACACACGGAAGAAGAUAGUGUGCAUGAAAAUGGUUUUCUGAAUUCAGAAGUCGAGAAUCAAGUUCCGUCAUCAUAUGAUCCAGAAACGGAUAGUAGAGUAGAGAGAAAUUCGCCAGUAAUCCUUAGGUGUUUCGGCUGGAUGGCUAGCUCUCGAGCUUUGUCUUCAACACCGCCUAGGAACAUUUUCAACUAUAUCAAAAGCCUCUGCUAUAUCUAGAGCGAUUUGGUAUAGCUCGUUCCAAACACUCAUAAUCAUCAUUUCGCUCGGAACGCAACAUUUCAGUAACGACUAGUACUGCGGAAUCGGAUGAAG